rnacentral:rRNA from 1 species
CACUUUGCUUAGAUUCUUCGGAUGAAGAGGAUUGUGACUGAGCGGCGGACGGGUGAGUAACGCGUGGGUAACUGCCUCAUACAGGGGGAUAACAGUUAGAAAUGACUGCUAAUACCGCAUAAGACCACAGCACCGCAUGGUGCGGGGGUAAAAACUCCGGUGGUAUGAGAUGGACCCGCGUCUGAUUAGCUAGUUGGUAAGGUAACGGCUUACCAAGGCGACGAUCAGUAGCCGACCUGAGAGGGUGACCGGCCACAUUGGGACUGAGACACGGCCCAAACUCCUACGGGAGGCAGCAGUGGGGAAUAUUGCACAAUGGGGGAAACCCUGAUGCAGCGACGCCGCGUGAGCGAAGAAGUAUUUCGGUAUGUAAAGCUCUAUCAGCAGGGAAGAAAAUGACGGUACCUGACUAAGAAGCACCGGCUAAAUACGUGCCAGCAGCCGCGGUAAUACGUAUGGUGCAAGCGUUAUCCGGAUUUACUGGGUGUAAAGGGAGCGUAGACGGAUGGGCAAGUCUGAUGUGAAAACCCGGGGCUCAACCCCGGGACUGCAUUGGAAACUGUUCAUCUAGAGUGCUGGAGAGGUAAGUGGAAUUCCUAGUGUAGCGGUGAAAUGCGUAGAUAUUAGGAGGAACACCAGUGGCGAAGGCGGCUUACUGGACAGUAACUGACGUUGAGGCUCGAAAGCGUGGGGAGCAAACAGG